UGGUCUCUCGGUCUCUCUCUUCAACACGAAUUUUUUUUUGGAUUCGUCGCAAUUUGCUGUAAAUUCGAAGGAUGAUUGUUUAAUUUGUUGAUUUAACUUCAAAUUUCAUCUAUUGGAACUUAAUUCGUCAAUCGAGUCUACUAAAUGGAGCUCAAAAUCAGCCAGGCUUCUAGCUGGUUAUGGUUGAUGAAAGUUGCUAGCAGUGGUAUCCUCUAUGAUCCUGGUGAACACCCUGAUCAUGUUGUCGUCAUCAAGGUAUGUAUACAGUUCUGUCAUUAGUUAAGAGGAAUGUGAUAUUUGAUUUUUAUGUUAUCGUGUUUUGUUGUUCAUAAUUGGACAAUAUUUCUUGAGUGUGCUCUGUAUACAUGAAGUAUGUUCCAUAUGUGGGAGACAGGGGCAUGGAUGAGUAUACAUCCGAGAUAUUCAUGGGUGGCAAGAACACCAUUGUGUUGCACAAAACUUGUGAGGACUCGCUUUUGCCUGCUCCAAUCAUCCUUGACUUGGUCCUCCUCGCUGAGCUAAGCACCCUCAUCUAAUUCAAGGAUGAAACAGAGGGAAACUUUCACUCCUCCAUCCAGUUGCUACCAUACUCUGUUACGUCAUUAAAGCACCUCUUGUUCCACCAGGCACUCCAGUGGUGAAUUCGCUCUCAAAGUAGAAGCCAAUGCUCGAGAACAUAAUGAGGGCAUGUGUAGUGUUGGCCCCGGAGAACAACAUGAUACUUGAAUACAAUUACAACAGGAGAUGCACAAGCAGCACAACAACCGUCGCCCUCAUAUUUUAAAGGCAUCGCCAAUAAAGAAGAUGUUGAUAUGAAAGUAGUUAAUUUCUGUUGUUGUGUUUUUGUAUUAGUUACUGGAAAGGCAGCAUCCAUUAAUCAAAUUUAGCUUUUGUGGUGUUUUUGCCCUUGUGUUUUUUUCACUAUUUCUGUUUCUUAAUGUUUCUCUGUCUCAUGGAAUUUAUGGAAAUAUGGAGUAGUAGAAGGUGCUUUUCCUCAUUUAUGUAUGAAAAUGCA